GAUGAACGCUGGCGGCGUGCCUAAUACAUGCAAGUCGAGCGAACGGACGAGAAGCUUGCUUCUCUGAUGUUAGCGGCGGACGGGUGAGUAACACGUGGAUAACCUACCUAUAAGACUGGGAUAACUUCGGGAAACCGUAGCUAAUACCGGAUAAUAUUUUGAACCGCAUGGUUCAAAAGUGAAAGACGGUCUUGCUGUCACUUAUAGAUGGAUCCGCGCUGCAUUAGCUAGUUGGUAAGGUAACGGCUUACCAAGGCAACGAUGCAUAGCCGACCUGAGAGGGUGAUCCGCCACACUGGAACUGAGACACGGUCCAGACUCCUACGGGAGGCAGCAGUAGGGAAUCUUCCACAAUGGGCGAAAGCCUGACGGAGCAACGCCGCGUGAGUGAUGAAGGUCUUCGGAUCGUAAAACUCUGUUAUUAGGGAAGAACAUAUGUGUAAGUAACUGUGCACAUCUUGACGGUACCUAAUCAGAAAGCCACGGCUAACUACGUG
rnacentral:rRNA from 1 species